UCUAGUUUCAGUGAACAUAUAUAUAUAUAUAUAUAUAUAUAUAUAUAUAUAUAUAUAUAUAUAUAUAUAUAUAUAUAUGCCUUGUAAGGGGGACUGGAAACAUCCCAUUUUGGUCUUCCUUCUUCUUGAGCUUCCUGAGGUUUUGUAUUGCAUAUUCAGUAAUUCUAGCUUCUGUGCUAACAUCCACUUAUCAGUGAGUGCAUACCAUGUGUGUUUAUUUUUCUGUGAUUAGGUAACCUCACUCAGUAUGAUAUUUUCUAGUUCAUUCCAUUUGCCUAUGAAUUUCAUGAAGUCAUUGUUUUUUAUUACUAAGUAGUACUCCAUUGUGUAGAUGCACCACAUUUUUUAAUCCAUUCCUCUGUUGCAUCUGGGUUCAUUCCAGCUUCUGGUUAUUAUAAAUAAGACUGCUAUGAACAUAGUGGAGCAUGUAUUUUGGUUAUAAUCUUUUGGUAAUAUGCCAAGGAGAGAUAUAGUUGGGUCUUAAGAUAGUGGAAAGCCCAAUUUUUCUGAGGAACCUCCAGAUUGAUUUCCAGAGUGGUUGUACCAGUUUGCAGUCCACCAGUGGAGGAGUGUUCUUCUUUCUCCACAUCCUUGCCAGCAUCUUCUAUUACCUGAAAGUUUUAUCUUAGCCAUUAUGACAUGUGUGAAGUGGAAUUCGAGGGACGUUUUGAUUUGCAUUUCCUAGUGACUAAUGAUGUUGAACUUUUCUUUAGGUGCUUCUCUGCCAUUCGAAUUUCCUCAGGUGAGAAUUUUUUAUCACUGUACCCCAUUUUAAUAGGGUUAUUUGGCUUUCUGGAGUCUAACUUCUUGAGUUAUUUGUAUAUUUUAGAUUGUAGCCCUCUAUUAGAUGUAGGAUUGGAAAGAUCUUUCCCAAACUGUUGGUUGCCAUUUUGUCCUAAUAACAGUGUCCUUUGCCUUACAGAAGUUUUGCAGUUUUAUGAGGUCCCAUUUGUCGAUUCUUGGUCUUAGAGCCUAAGCCAUUGGUGUUUUAUAUAGGAAAUUUUACCCAGUGCCCAUGUGUUCAAGACUCUUCUGCAUUUUUUUCUAUUAGUUUGAGUGUAUCUGUUUUGAUGAGGUCCUUGAUCCACUUGGACUUAAGCUAUGUACAGGGUGAUAAGAAAGGAUCGAUUUCUUCUACAUGCUGACCUUCAUUUCAAUCAGCACCAUUUGUUGAAAAUGCUCUUUCUUCUAUUGGAUGGUUUUGUUACCUUUGGCAAAAAUCAAGUGACCAUAGGUGUGUUGUUUCAUUUCUGAGUCUUCAAUUCUAUUCCACUGAUCCAUCUGCCUGUCUCUGGACCAAUACUAUACAGUUUUUAUCACUAUUGCUCUGUAAUACUGCGUGAGGGGAGGGAUAGUGGUUACCACAGAUAUUCUUUUAUUAUUGAGUAUAUUUUUUGCUAUCCUGGGCUUUUUCUAAUUCAAAUUGAAUUUACAAAUUGCUCUUUCUAUCUCUAUAAAGAAUUGAUUCCAAAUUGGAUGGGGAUUGCAUUGAAUUUGCAGAUUGCUUUUGGCAAAAUGGGCAUUUUUUUACAUUAAUCCUGCCAAUCCAUGAGCAUCGUAGAUCUUUCCACCUUUUGAGUUCUUCUUCAAUUUCUUUCUUCAGAGAAUUGAAGUUCUUGUCGUAUAGAUCUUUCCCUUGCGUGGUUAAAGUCACACCAAGAUAUUUUAUAUUAUUUGGAAUUAUUGAGAAGGAUGCCAUUUCCCAAAUUACUUUCUCAGACAGUUUAUUCUUUCAGUAGAGGAAGACUACUGAUUUAUUUUAGUUCAUUUUAUACCCAGAAAUUUCAUUGAAGUUGUUUAUUAAGUUUAUUAGUUCUCUGGUGUAACUUUUGUGGUCACUUAAGUAUACUAUAAUAUCAUCCGCAAAUAGUGAAAUUUUGACUUCUUUCUUCCAAUUUGUGUACCUUUGACCUCUUUUCGUUUUCUGAUUACUCUAGCUAGGAUUUCAAGUACUAUAUUGGAUAAGUUGGGAGAGAGUGGAAAGCCUUGUCUAGACACUGGUUUUAGUGGGACUCCUUCAAAUGUCCCUCGAUUUAGUUUGAUUUUAGCUACUGGUUUGCCAUUUAAUGGAUUAGUGUUUAGAUAUGCGCCUUGAAAUCUUGACAUUUCAUGGAGGGUUGUCAAAUUUUAGAAAAUCCUUUCUUAGCAUCUAAUGAAAUGAUCAUGUGAUUCUUACCUUUGAGUUUGUUAUGUUGAUUAAUUUCCAUAUAUUAAACCAUCCCUGGAAUGAAGCCUACUUUGUCAUGAUGGAUGAUCAUUUUGAUGUGUUCUUGCAUUCAAUUUGCAAGAAUUUUAUUGGGUAUUUUCCAGCAAUAUUCAUAAGGGAAAUUGGUCUGCAGAUCUCUUUCUUUUUUGGGUCUUUGUGUGGUUCAGGUAGAAGAGUAAUUGUGGCUUCAUAGAAGAAAUUUUGUAGUAUUCCAUCUGUAUCUUUUUGGGGGUGGAUAAAUUUGACUGUAUUAGUAUGAGGUCUUCGAUGAAGUUCUGAUAGAUUUCUGCACUAAACCCAUCUGGUCUUUGGCUAUUUUUGGUUGGUAGAGUUUAAUAACUGCUUCCAUUUCUUCAUGAGUUAUGGGGCUGUUUAGAUGUUUAUUUUUUCCUGAUUUAACUUUGGUAACUGAUAUCUGUCUAGAAAAUACUCCAUUUCCUCCAGAUUUUCCAAUUUUGAUGAAUAUAGGCUUUUGUAGUAGGUUCCGAUGGUUUUGGGAAUUUCCUCAGAUUCUGUUGUUAUAUUUACCUUCUCACUUCUUUUUUUUCUCCAUCUUUAUUAAAUUGGGUAUUUCUUAUUUACAUUUCAAUUGUUAUUCCCUAUAUAGGUUUCCAGGUAAUCAGCCCCCUAACCCCUCACCCUCCCCUUCUAUAUUGGUGUUUCCCUCCCCAUCCUCCCCCCAUUACCGCCCUCCCCCAAACAAUCCCUUUCACUGGGGGUUCAGUCUUGACAGGACCAAAGGCUUCCCCUUCCAUUGGUGCCCUUACUAGGCUAUUCAUUGCUACCUAUGCAGUCGGAGCCCAGGGUCAGUCCAUGAAUAGACAUUGGGUAGUGGCUUAGUCCCUGGAAGCUCUGGUUGGUAGGAAAUGUUGUUCAUAUGGGGUCUCAAGCCCCUUCAAGCUCUUUCAGUCCUUUCUCUGAUUCUUUCAACGGGGGUCCCGUCCUCAGUUCAGUGGUUUGCUGCAGGUAUUCGGCUAUGUAUUUGCCAUAUUCUGGCUGUGUCACUUAGGAGAGAUCUACAUCCAGUUUCUGUCAGCUGCACUUCUUAGCUUCAUCCAUCUUAUCAAGUUUGGUGGCUGUAUAUGUAUGGGCCACAUGUGAGGCAGGUUCUGAUUGGGCGAUCCUUUGGGUUCCUCCUGGGGUUUGUUUCUUUGUGUUCUGGAGUAUUUAAGUGUGCUGUCAUGCUGCUGAUGUAUACUCUCUCCUGUUUCUUUUUGCAGGCACUCAUAGGUAUGAGUUUUCUUCUUAGCACCACUUUCAUUGUGUCCCAUACGUUUGGGAAUGUUAUAUCUUCAUUUUCAUUAAAUUCUAGGAAGUCUUUAAUUUCUUGCUUUAUUUCUUCCUUGACCAAGUUGUCAUUUAGUAGGACAUUGUUCAAGUUUCAUGUAUAUGUGUGCUUUCUGUCAUUAUUUUUUUAUUGAACACCAGCCUUAGUCUGGAGAGAUCUAAUAGGAUGCCUUUGAUUAUUUUUGUCUUCCUGUAUCUGUUUAGUCUUUUUGGUGACCAAUUAUAUGUCAGUUUUGGAGAAUAUAUCAUGAGCUGCUGAGAAGAAGGUAUAUCCUUUUAUUUUAGGAUGGAAUGUUCUAUCAAUAUCUGUUAAAUUCUUUUGGUUCAUUACUUCUGUUAGUUUCUCUAUGUCUCUGUUUAAUUUCUGUUUCCAUGAUUUGUCCAUUGAUGAAAGUGGAGUGUUGAAAACUCCUACUAAUAUUGUGUGAGGUGCAAUGCGUGGUUUCAGCUUUAGUAAGAUCCCUUUAAUGAAUGUAGGUGCCCUGCAGUUGGAACAUAGAUAUAUAUGAUUGAGAGUUCAUUUCUUGAUGGAUUUUUCCUUUGAUGAAUAUGAAGUAUACUUCCUUAUCUUUUUUGAUGACUUUUGGUUGAAAGUUAGUUUUUUUUCGAUAUUAGAAUGGCAACUCCAUCUUUUCUUAUUUUUUGAACCCUUUGCUUGUAAAGUUGUUUUCCAGCCUUUUACUCUGAGGCAGUGUCUGUCUUUGUCUCUGAGGUGUGUUUCCUAUAUGCAGCAAAAUACUGGGUCCUCUUUAUGUAUCUAGUCUCUUAGUCUAUGUCUUUUUACUGGGGAAUUGAGUCCAUUUAUGUUGAGAGAUAUUAAGGAAUAGUGAUUGUCCCUGAUAUUUUCAUUGUUAGAGGUGGAUUUAUGUUUUUGUGUUUUUCUUCUUUUGGUUUCAUUACAAGGGGAUUAAUCUCUUGCUUUUUGUAUGGCAUAGUUUUUCCUCUUAUGUUGGAGUUUUUCAUCAAUUAUCCUUUGUUGGGCUGGAUUUGUAGAAAGAUAUUGUGUAAAUUUGUUUUGUAAUGGAAUAUCUUCAUUUCUCCCUCAAUGUUAAUUGAUUGUUUUGCUGGAUAUAGUAGCCUGGGCUGGGUUUUGUGUUCCUUUAGUAUCUGUAUGUCAUCUGUCAAGGAUCUUCUGGCUUUCAUAGGCUCUGGUGAGAAGCCUGGUAUAAUUCUUAUAGGUCUGUCUUUAUAUGUCACUUGACCUUUUCCCCCUACUGCUUUUUAAUAUUUUUUCUUUGUUUUGUGCAUUUGCUGUUUUAACUAUUAUGGGAUGGGAGGAAUUUCUUUUUUGGUCCAAUCUCUUUGGACUUUGUAAGCUUUUUGUAUGUUUGUGGGUAUCACUUUAGUUUAGGGAAGUUUUCUUCUGUAAUCUUGUUGGAGAUAUUUACUGGCCCUUUAACUUGGGUGUCUUCAUUUUCUUCUAUACCUAUUAUCCUUAGGUUUGAUCUUCUCAUUGUAUCCUGGAUUUCCUGGAGGUUUUGGACCAGGAGUUUUUGCAUUUUACAUUACCUUUCAUGGUUCUGUUGAUGUUUUCUAUAGUAUCUUCUGCCCCUGAGAUUCUCCCUUCUAUCUCUUGUAUUCUUUUGGUGAUGCUUGCAUGUGUGACUCCUGGUCACUUCCUUAGGUUUUCUAUCUCUAGAGUUGUUCCCCUUUGUCCUUUCUUUAUUGUUUCUACUUCCAUUUUUAAAUCCUGAAUGGUUUUGUUCAUUUCCUUCACCCGCUUGGUUGUGUUUUCUUGUAGUUCUUUCAGGGAUUCUUGUGUUUCCUAUUUAAGAGCCUCUACUUGUUUACUUGUGUUGUCCUGCAUUUCUUUAAGGGAUUUAUUUAUGUCCUUCUUAUAGUUUUCCAUCAUUAUCCUAAAAUGUGAUUUUAAAUCUAAAUCUUGAUUUUCCAGUAUGUUUGGAUAUCCAGUAUUUUCUUUGGUGGGAAAACUGGGCUCUGAUGAUACCCAGUAUCUUGGCUUCUGUUGCAUUUUUCCUGUGCUUUCUUCUCACCAUAAGGUUAUUUCUGGUAUUUGCUUAUCUUGCCAUUUCUGAUAGUGGCUUGACCCUCCUGUAGGCCUCUCUGUCAGCACUCCUGUUUUCCUCUUUCCUUUCUGCUGUUUGUGGGAACAGCUUCUCUGAUCUCAGUUGUGUAGGUGCUCCUGGUGACUAUCUUUCAGCACUAGGUGUGGGCAGGAAUCAGAUGGUUCCUGCCCUGGACUGUUCUUAGGUCCUUGAACCCAUGGGGCACAGUUGGCACUAGGCAGUUCAUUCUUGGGUUGCAAUGUGGGCAGAGGGUAGUUGCCUCUGAUUUCUCAUGAGCAUCCUCACUUCUGAGGGUCCUGCUCUCUCAUUCACAUGAUUUGGGUGCAGGGAGCUAUUUGACUGUUUCAGUUCAGUUCAGUUCUGGGCACAGACCAGAACCGCAGGUACCGGUGGCUGAGUGUUCCUUUAUUCCUGUGUCCAGAGCCACUAUGCAUUUUCCCCUCGGACCAGGGAUGUGGGCAAAGGUGGGCAAAAGUGGCAGUCUGUCCAGAAGUCUCAGUAUUUCUGCACUUCUGGGUGUUCAGCUCUCUUCCCUAUGGGAUUUGGGUGCAGGGAACUGUGGGAUACAUUCUUAUCACCCUGUACAAUGAUCAAAUACAAUGGAUCAAGUACCUCAACAUAAAACCAGAUGUGAUAACCCUAAUAAAGAGAAAUUGGGAAAGAGCUUUGAACACAUGGUCACAGGAGAAAUUUUCCUGAACAGACCACCAAAGAGUUAUGCUCUAAAUCAAGAAUCUACAAAUGGGACCUCAGAAUUGAAAAGUUUCUGCAAGGCAAAGGACACUGUCAUCAGGACAAAAUGGCAACCUAGAAAUAGGAAAAAGAUCUUUACCAAUCCUAUGUCUUGAUAGAGGGCUAAUAUCCAAUAUAGACAAAAAUUCAAGAAGGUAAACUUCAGAGAAUCAAAUAACCCUAUUAAAAAAUGGGCUAUAGAGCUAAACAAAGAAUUCUCAACUGAGGAACAUCAAAUGGCUGAGAAGCACCUAAAGAAAUGUUAAACAUCCUCAGUCAUCAGUAAAACGCAAAUCAAAACAAAUCUGAGAUUUCAAUUCACAUCAUUCAGAAUAGCUAAGAUCAAAAACUUGGGUGACAACAGAUGCUGGCAAGGAUGUGGAAAAUGAGGAACACUCCUCCAUUGGUGGUAGGAUUGCAAGCUAGCACAAUCACUCUGGAAAUUGUUCUGGAAUUUCCUGAGCAAAUUAGACAUUUUACUCCAUGAUGACCCAGCAAUAUCACUUCUGUGAAUAUACCCAAAAGAUUUUCCAACAUGUAACAAGGGCAAUGCUCCACCAUUUUUCUAGCACCCUUAUUUAUUAGAGCCAGAAACUGGAGAGAACCCAGAUGUUUUUCAAUAGAAGAAUGGGUACAGAAAAUGUGGUCCAGCUACACAAUGGAAUAUUACACAGCUAUUAAAAACAACGACUUCAUGAAAUUCUUAGGCCUAUAGAUGGAACAUGAAAAUAUCAUCCUGAGUGAGGUAACCCAAUCACAAAAGAACAUACAUGGUAUACAUUUACUGUUAAAUGGAUAUUAGCCCAAAAUCUCAGAAUACCCAAGAUACAAUUCACAAAACACAUGAAGCUCAAUAAGAAGGAAGACCAAAGUGUGGAUGCAUCAUACAUUCUCAGAAGGUGGAACAAAAUUACUCACAGGAGGAAAUAUGGAGACAAUGUGUGGAGCAGAGACUGCCCCACCUGAAGGAUCCAUCCCAUAUACAGACAAGAAACCCAGACAAUAUUUCAGAUGCCAAGAAGUGCAUGCUGGCAGGAGACUGAUAUAGCUGUCUACUAAGAGGCUCUGCCAGAUCCUGUAGAUGCUUGCAGUAAAUCAUUAUUCUAACAAUGGGGUCCCCAUUCAAAUCUGGAAACAUAUGCAAGCAAACAUAAUGGAACAGACUCAGCAUAUUGUAGGCAUACAUUUAUGCAUUUCUCAAAAGGUAAGUACCAAUUAUAAAAAAAAAAUAAACCAUGAAUUUGAAAGAGUAGGGGUGAAGAGACAUAGUAAGGAAGCUAGGUGUGAGGAAAUGUUGAAUUUUAUUUUAAUUUUGAAGUUGCAAAAUAUAUACUUUGGAAACUUUAAUGAAGUCUUAGACAGUUCAAUAUUUAAUACAAUAUUUAUACAAUGACAUACUACACGUAUGCCUAUUAUAAUUUAAUAUCCAUAGCUCUACCCCUAGAUCUUGUUUCUCACAAGGAAUCAUACUCACAGACAUUAAAGCAUCAGGUUUGAAAAGUGGGAUCCAUGGUGACAAGGACUGCCACCAUGAACUUUUAAAUUAGCCAACAUUCCAAAGCUUAAUACUUUAUCUUUUGUUACAAUUGGAUGUUAUCUACUCAUUUUCCAAAGCCCCAUCUCUCAUGUUAAAAUCCACCCCUGUAACUAGGCUACCUUAAUGUAAAAGAAAAGCAACAUGGAAGACUACAUUACCCUCAACUUGUUGCUGGAUCAGCAGAACCCUUGUCUGCCACAGAUUUAUACCUGAAUUUGUCAGAUAUCAGAAAGCUAGUGAUGCAUCUGAUAAAUAUAUUUUUUAGAUUUUCUAUUUCAAAGACCUAAGGAAAGUUCAUUUAGAUGUGACAUUCUACUACUUUCCCAAACCUCAAAUACACUUACUUGUUUCAGAUAGCCUCAUACAUAUUAUACUAGUUUGCACUUUUAUGCAAAUUAUGUGGUUAGUUGGUCCAUGCCCAGCAUAAAUCUUUGAAAUAUAUCUAAGUCACUGUGGAAAACUCAUGCAUAUGAGGCACACUGAUUAGGUCAUUGAAUGUCUACAUUAUGUGCUAGGAGAAGAUAUUUCUUAAAAUGUAGUUUUUAAUAAUCAACAUUUUCAAGUUUUAUUUUUAAAUUUUUCCAUUAAAUUAUUCAUUUUAACAUGCUGAUCAUAGCUCACCAUCUCUUCCCAGUCCCCAAUUGCAUGGCUUUCCACCAUCAUCACUUCCCAUCAUUUCUGAGAAGGGGGAGAUCCCCCAGUGAGUACCAACCCACCAUGAUACUUCAAGGUAGGACUAGGCAUAUCCUUCCCCACUGAUGCUGGACAAGACAGCCUAGUUAGGGAAUCUAUGGGUAGGCAAUAGAGUCAGGGUAUGCCCACGCUCCACUUCUUAGAAGACCCACAUGAAAACCAACCUAAACAUACACACACACACACACACACACACACACACACACACAGAGGGGGAGAGAGAGAGAGAGAGAGAGAGAGAGAGAGAGAGAGAGACUAGAUAUAGAUAUAGAUAUAGAUAUAGAUAUAGAUAUAGAUAUAGAUAUAGAUAAAAUCUUCCAAAUAUAUGCAGGGGCCUAAGUCCAAUCAUUGUGUGUUUUUCAGUCUUUGGGAGCUCUCAGGGCUCCAGGAUAGUCUUUUGUGGAGUUACUCUCAGCUCCAGGUUCUGCAAUCCUUCCCUCACCUCCUUAUAAGCAUAGCCUGAGGCUACAAGGUAGUUGGAGGAAGUCAGGCCUACAGUGUGUCACUGUUAAUCCUCUGAGGAAAGUUCAGCACAUCCCCUCUAAAUUGUCAGGGGUUCCUAUUGCAUUCAUUUAUGUCUAUCUCACAAUGAGCACCUGUGUAUCCAGGUUAUCAGUGACAAACAUAGUUGUCAACAGUUUCUUCACAUGUUGUAUCAUUGUGUAAGGCUUUGACCAACAAAGAGCCAUCAAAGUCUCACAGUGUGAGACUUUUUGUGAAUCUGUUACCCAUGCAGUCAUAAUAACAGUUGUUUCCUCCAUGCAUACAGGGUGACAUAACUAACUGGCAUAUUCAUCAAAGUUGUGUUCACAUUGAUCUUCAAGGAAUCCAUAUACAUUUUCGUGGAUUAAAGCUCCAAGAUUAUCCUGAUACAUGGUACCAUGUAGAUACUGCUGGGAUCUACAUUCCAUCAAUAUCUCAUUCACAGUUCAUACCAAAAUACUCUUAAGGACAGAUAUUGAUGUAUUGUUCUACCUUGUUGAAGCAUACAGCCUUAUUCAUGCAGGGAUCAGAAACAUAUUCAUCCAAUUCCAAGUCACAAUACCUGCCUUGGUAUCGAAGCACACUGAAGCAGGAGUAGUCAUUGCAGUACACGAUAGAUAGACUCAUUGUACUUGUCACAUAGAACCUUCCAGAAUAUAUAUGUAUGACAGACACAAAUAGGAUGCUCAGGGUCUAUAUAACAGAUGCCUCCCGACUCAUUAUUAUUGAUCAUAUCUCUUUUGAUUUUGGCAAUAGGUCUUGCUACAUAUCCCAUAUACUGGCUUCUAGGUCACAACACAUCUCUUAUCUCUCUCUCUCUCAAGGGCUUAAAUUCAGGGACCAUCAUGUCUGGCUCUAGUACUCACAUCUGCAAUUAGAGCUACAACUACAGGUGAAAGCACAUUAAUACAUACAGCUUGUAUUUUUGCUGCUUGUCCUCAAUGUGGUGGCCGGUAAAUGUUCUGCAAUGACAAGGAGGAUCAAGAAAAUUGGAAUAUAUAUUAAUGCAUCAGAUCCAAGACCUUUGGCUAAUCUAUCUAAAGGUUUUGCUGAUGAGUGCAACUUAGGCUGGACACUAAAGAAGAGAAAGGACAAAUAGGAUGAAUAUUAAAUUAAAUUUCAUAUAAAUUCUGAUAUAAUUAAUAUUAAUUAUGUUAAUAGUGAAUAUAGUUUUACCUUAAAUAAAAUUUAGCUCUUAAAAACAUUUUGUAAAAUGAAAUUCUUCAUCCCUAUGAUUUUUUUAUCUUUCUUAAUUUUAGUAUUUCUUAUUUACAUUUCAAUUGUUAUUCUCCUUCCUGAUUUCUGGGCCAACAUCCCCAUAACACCUCCCCCUCCCUUACAAAAGGGCUUCCCCUCCCCAUCCUCCCCCCAUUACCACCCUCCCCUCAACAAUCACAUUCACUGGCGGUUCAGUCUUGACAGGACCAAGGUCUUCCCCUUCUACUGGUGCUCUUAUUAGGCUAUUCAUUGCUAUCUAUGAGGUUGGAGCCCAGGGUCAGUCCACGUAUAGUCUUUGGGUAGUGGCUUAGUCCCUGGAAGCUCUAGUUGGUUGGCAUUGUUGUUCAUAUGGGGUCUCAAGUCCCUUCAAGCUCUUUCAGUCCUUUCUCUAAUUCCUUCAAUGGGGGUCCCGUUCUCAGUUUAGUGGUUUGCUUCUGGCAUUCACCUAUGUAUUUGCUGUAUUCUGGGCGUGUCUCUCAGGGGAGAUCUAAAUCCGGUUCCUGUCAGCCUGCACUUCUUUGGUUUAUCCAUCUUAUCUAGUUUGGUGGUUGUAUAUGUAUGGACCAUCCAAUUGAAGAAAAGAUACCAUUUUCAGCAAAUGGUGCUGGUUCAACGGGAUGUCAGCAUAUAGAAGAUAGAUAUAGAUAUAGAUUGAUCCAUGCAUAUCACCCUGUACAAAGCUUAAGUCCAAGUGGACCAAGGACCUCUACAUCAAACAAGAUACACUCAAAUUAAUAAAAGAAAAAGUGGGGAAGAAUCUCAAACACAUGGGUGUCCCGUGCUGUCUCUCGCCAGCAAGAAUAUGUGGGAACACAUGAAUCCUUCUGUAGCCAAAAUGCUUAUAUUUAUUAAUAGAGAGGGCGUCCGGGCGCCAGCAUGGCGCGGCUUAUAUACACCCUAGCACGGCGCAGCCACACCUGAUUGGUUGCUUACCCAUGAUCUCAUUAGGCACGCCCCGGAGUGGGCAAAGACCUGGCACGAAGGCACUCUUGCACAUGCGCACACAGUUAACUUCCUGAAAGGAAGUCGUCUGGCAUGGCGGAGGCCAGCGCCAUCUUGUAAUGGCGAAAGCUAUCCUGGCCUUCCACGUGGGGUGCAGUGGAAGCCAGCACCAUCUUGUGGUGGCGAAUGUUAUUGCAGCCCUCUACAUCUCUCCCUUAUUAUUUUAUUAAUUAAUAAUAAAUUAUUGUCUAGGCUGGUCUAGGUCUCUGCAGUUACGUCCAUCUGCUGUGGCUCCUGUCUUAGAUCAUUCCUCUAUGUAACAGCCAAUCUGUCGAAAGGUAACCCUAUCGCCACCGGGCCCCAUGUACUGUGCAUGAGGAAAGUUGCCCAUCUCUGGAUACCACAGUGCUGUGUGACAGUAACUGUUAAAUGACCUAGGGCGAACUCUAUAAAGAGGCCAGCCAGAAGAUGAGUUAGUGGGGGAAUCAUGAUCACCCUAUCGCGUGCAAUGAGGAAACCUCAGCGAUGUGGAAGGGCUGAUCAAAGAAUCAUUGAGUAUCUCUCAUCCCAGUGCAAUGGAUCCACAGAUCCAUGGGGUGCAAGAGCAGAGAACUCAGAUACCGACUAAUUUUUGAAGAUAGAUAACCAAAUUUCAGGGGAGGCCCCUUGUUCAAUGGCCACAAGUGCUUGAGUGAUAACGGCCUUGUCACGUUUCUAUUGAGAUCUGAGUUUGUAAACCAACCAUAGCAUGAACACUAAUCCACAGCAUAGGGCUGCACCAGACAGAGCCACUCCUGAUAAGUAGUGGCCACCUCAUUUGGUUCACCUCAGCUGUUACCACCAAGGGCCGUAGUCAAGCCGCUCCUAUAAUAAAAUUUUAGAAUUCCCAAUUGUUAGUAACUACUCCAGAAAGUUCACCCACUGUGCUUGUCUAACAAUAGAUUGGGGGAGGAUAACUCCAGACACUGCAGACACAAUGUCUGCAGCAGUAAUGGCUGCUACAAUAGCAGCGAAAGUGUCAAGGUCUUUUCCAGGACAGUUCAGGAUCUCUGGAACAACCAGCAGGCAAUGGAACCAUGUCUGGGAUCUGCAUAACCAGGACAGAGUUCCCCAGUCCACAGCAGCUUCAUGCAGGUGGCAUUCCUGUGACGCUACAGUCUGCAAAAUGACAACACCAGAUGGAAGACCCCCUCUUGGCACCUUGGCGCUGGCGUGGCAUCCCGGGUGUCCAGCACCAAAUGUCCCGCGCGACCUCUUGCCAGCAAGAAUACGCAGGAACACAUGAAUCCUUCUGUAGCCAAAGUGCUUAUAUUUAUUAAUAAUAGAGAGGGCGGCCAGGCACCAGCAUGGCGCGGCUUAUAUACACCCUAGCACAGCGCAUCCACACCUGAUUGGUUGCUUACACAUGAUCUCAUUAGGCACGCCCCGGAGUGGGCAAAGACCUGGCACGAAGGCACUCUUGCACAUGCGCACACAGUUAACUUCCUGAAAGGAAGUCGGCUGGCGUGGCGGAAGCCAGCGCCAUCUUGUAAUGGCGAAAGCUAUCCUGGCCUUCCACGUGGGGCGCAGUGGAAGCCAGCACCAUCUUGUGGUGGUGAAUGUUAUUGAGGCCCUCUACACAUGGGCACUGGAGAAAAUUUCCUGAACAAAACACCAAUGGCUUUUGCUCUAAGAUCAAGAAUCAACAAAUGGGAUCUCAUAAAACUGCAAAGCUUCUGUAAGGCAAAGGACACUAUUGUUAGGACAAAAUGACAACCAACAGACUGGGAAAAGAUCUUUACCAAUCCUACAACGGAGAGAGGGCUUAUAUCCAAAAUAUACAAAGAACUCAAGAAGUUAGGCUGCAGGGAGAUAAAUAACCCAAGUAAAAAAUGGGGUUCAGAGCUAAACGAAGAAUUCACAGCUGAGGAAUGCUGAAGGGCUGAGAAACACCUAAAGAAAUGUUCAAUGUCUUUAGUCAUAAGGGAAAUGCAAAUCAAAACAACCCUGAGAUUUCACCUCACACCAGUGAGAAUGGCUAAGGUCAAAAACUCAGGUUACAACAUAUAUUGGCAAGGAUGUGGAGAAAGAGGAACACUCCUCCAUUGUUGGUGGGAUUGCAGACUGGUACAACCAUUCUGGAAAUCAGUCUGGAGGUUCCUCAGAAUAUUGGACAUUGAAAUACCUGAGGACCCAUCUGUACCUCUCUUGGACAUAUACCCAAAAGAUGCCCCACCAUAUAACAAAGACGCAUGCUCCUCUAUGUUAAUAGCAGCCUUAUUUAUAAUAGCCAGAAGCUGGAAAGAACCCAGAUGCCCUUCAACAGAGGGAUGGAUACAGAAAAUGUGGUACAUCUACACAAUGGAAUAUUACUCAGAUAUCAAAAACAAUGACUAUGAAAUUCAUAGGCAAAUGGAGGGAACUGGAAAAUAUCAUCCUGAGUGAGAUAACCCAAUAACAGAAAAACACACAUGGUAUGCACUCAUUGAUAAGUGGCUAUUAGCCCAAAUCCUUGAAUUUCCCUAGAUGCACAGAACACAUGAAACUCAAGAAGGAUGACCAAAAGACGAAUGCUUCACUCCUCCUUUAAAAGGGGAAAAAGAAUACCAUUGGCAGGGAAUGGGGAGGCCAAAUUUAGAACAGAGGCAGAAGGAACACCCAUUCAGAGCCUGCCCCCAUAGGUGGCCCAUACAUAUCCCUAUGCUUUUUUAUCAACUAUACUAUUCUAUAAAGAAGAUGACCUCUAUUUGUAAUUUUGCAAAUCUUAUCAAGCAGAGCAUGCAAUUAGGUUAUUAGAACAAUGUGAAUGUGAAAUUGGCUUUCUACUAUGACUUUUCCAAUGAUAUUUCAUUUGAACAAGUACAAGUGUCAAGAGGCAUGCAUUAGUGUUGAAAAUACAAUGCAUUUUCCUGUAAGUACCAUAGGGCAUGGAGAUGUUAUAAUGAAUUUUCCUAAAAUUAAGUAAUGCACUCACAUGACUUUACAUUGUGUGUGUGUGUGUUUGUGUGUGUGUGUGUGUGUGUGUGUGUGUGUGUGUGUGUGUAUUUCAUUUCAGUUUCAGGGGAUAGCCAAAGUAUUUACUCCUCAAAAUAGAAAAUUAAAUGAUAGUUAAGAGUAACUUUUUGUAUUUUGUUGUCCUAAUUCUGCUUGCAUUCUACUCCUAAUUUGGGAUCCCCAAGACUGAUGUCUUCAAGUUUAUUUUCAGAGAAAGUUUGUUUGUAAAAAAUUGAGUGAAUCUGCCCCUAGUUAAUUGUGAUUGGAAAAAAAAGAUGCCAAGAAUCAAGAGCUGGGCAGAAGAGACAAAGCUGAACUACAGUGACACUUACUUUCAAUGUCUCCAGUGCAAAAUUCAGUGACAUUGACUUCCUCACUUUUUUCUUCAAAAGAUAAAAGUUUUCAUAACAAUUUUAACAGCACCAAACAAUUAACUUUCAAAUAAUCCAGUUUGACUCUGAAAAUUUCAUACAUGUAUACACUCUGUUUCGACCACAUUCCUCCUAAUUUUCCCUAAAUUCUACCUGUUCUCACACUUAUUCUAACUUGGUAGGGUUUUGUUGUUUGUUUUGUAUGUUGGUAGGGUUUUUUGUUUGUUUUUUGUUUUUAAUGACCUACCUAGACCAACAUUUCAUGGCCAUAUUCUCACAAGUGUGGUGCCAGCCACUAAAUCUUGUUCCACCUACAUGUCAUCAGCACCUAAAUAUAAACUGACUCUUCCUUCUGUAGAAAAAAAAAAUUACUAACAGCUCCUCAGUUAAAGGUGAGUGACCAUGAGUCUCUUUUUCUUCCAUGCUAGCAUAUUGAAUAUUUAAGAGUUCCUAAGUGCACCAGUGAUGCCAUAUCUAGAGGACACUAUUUUAAGCACAUCCUCUUGGACGUUUGUCUCUACAAUCUUUCUAUAACCUUCUUCUGAAUGUUCACUGAGAUGUAGAAGAACAUGUAGCAUAAAUAUAUAACUUAAAAUUUCACGGACACUCUGCAUUUUGACAAUUGCCACUGUUAAACACAGCUUCCUGAACUAAGAAUGUUCUCUGAAGAGGUCUGAGAUCUCACUAACCCAUAAAUGUAAAGCUAUGAAUUCAGAGAACAGUUUGGUAUAACCCUUUAACAUAGUAAUUGUGUUAGGUUGACCCUCGAGGUCAAUAAGUUUUCUAGCCAUGGAUUUACAGUAUGAAGCAUGCAUUUUUCUCUGGUUGACUGGAUAGUAAUUCCAAUCAGAAAGUGGUUCAACACUGGUGGUUCAAAUGAGAAUGAUCCCAUAAGUUCAUAUGCUUAAAAACUUAGCUCACAGCUGGGGCAACUGUUUGGAAAGUAUUAGGAGAUGUGGCAUUGUAGUAAGAGAUAUGGCAUUAGGAUGGGCUUUGUGGUGACUCUCUCCUUCAUAAGGUCUCGAGAUGUGAGUACUUGACUAUAGCUCCAGCAACAUACAUGCUCAUCUGUUGCCAUGAUCCCUGCCAUGAUGACCAUAGACUCACUUCCUGAAACUGUGAGCAUCCAAUAAACUCUAUAUUCUGUAAGUUUCUUUGGUUAUGGUGUCUUUCUAGAGCAAUAAUAGUGCAUCUCAUGGUAGUGACUCCCAUAACAUCCAUGCCAGUAUUGUACACAUAGGUAAACUUUGCCACACUACUUAUCAUUUAAAGCUCCCAGUUACACAGAUGGAUGAGACCAUUAGUGUACAAUUCCAACAAGCUACAUAGCAUAUUUCUGUGUAAUUAAAGCUAGUCAGCAUGAAUCUUCUGCUAAGGUUCCAUUUGUUUUCUUCAUGUCCUGUGACCAAAGCAUGUAGCAUUUUCAGAAAUAGGGUCUUACCACAGUCCCAGUGUACCAAGACAAUAAAUUAUUGUGUUUAAAGCAAAAAUAUUAAUAAACCAUUAUUAAAAGUUAAUGCAAAUUUAUAGCUCUUCAUUAUAUAUCAAUUAGCUCUUAAAAGCAUUUGGUAAAAUGGACUUCUGUGGGAAAACCAGGUAGGAGUAUUGCAGAUCUUCAUCUCUCUGUUCCCCCAGAACCAAUUUCGCAGUAUCACUCCCAGAUCUGUAGCAGAAUAUCUGUAGGAGCUUCCCUGACCUCUUCUGCCCUAAUCUACCAAUCUGCAGAGGUCAUAUCACAAGAAUGAAUGAAUCUAUUAUGGUCCAAAAGUCCACUUGUAAAUACAUAGUCAUUAGUAACAAUAAGAGCAGCUGUCCCUUCCAAUCUGUGGUGACAAAGGCUCUGUGUGUUUUGUAAAAUAAUUUGUUUCUUAAUUCAUAAAGGCUUAACUUAGCCACAUAUGGACAGACUUGACUUCUGAUGAUAUGGCAAAACCUAGCCCUAACCCUAAUCACAACCCUCACCCUAAUCCUAACCCUAAUUGUAACCUUAACCCUAACUCUAAACCCAAACCCUAACCUUAAUCCCUAACUGUGACCUUUUGUCCUUUAGAUGGAAGAUUACUCUUUCUAGUGAUUUUCAUUGUCUCUUCACCAUGUCAUUGUCCAUAAUCCCAGACUGGAGAAAGGAAAGAGGAAUCUAUAAGGUUUCAGUGGAUCCAUCUACCAUGACAGACACAUGCCUCUUCCUAAUAUUUUUCUGGGAAAGUAAAAAUAUGGAAGAUUAAUAACAGCUUUCUUCUGUAAUAAAUACAUGCAAGUUACA